rnacentral:rRNA from 1 species
ACACAUGCAAGUCGAACGAGAAUCUACUGAAGGAGGAUUCGUCCAACGGAAGUAGAGGAAAGUGGCGGACGGGUGAGUAACGCGUGAGGAACCUGCCUUGAAGAGGUGGACAACAGUUGGAAACGACUGCUAAUACCGCAUGAAGCAUAGGGGUCGCAUGAUCUUUAUGCCAAAGAUUUAUCGCUUCAAGAUGGCCUCGCGUCUGAUUAGCUGGUUGGCGGGGUAACGGCCCACCAAGGCGACGAUCAGUAGCCGGACUGAGAGGUUGAACGGCCACAUUGGGACUGAGAUACGGCCCAGACUCCUACGGGAGGCAGCAGUGGGGAAUAUUGGGCAAUGGGCGCAAGCCUGACCCAGCAACGCCGCGUGAAGGAAGAAGGCUUUCGGGUUGUAAACUUCUUUUAAGAGGGAAGAGCAGAAGACGGUACCUCUAGAAUAAGCCACGGCUAACUACGUGCCAGCAGCCGCGGUAAUACGUAGGUGGCAAGCGUUGUCCGGAUUUACUGGGUGUAAAGGGCGUGCAGCCGGGUCUGCAAGUCGGAUGUGAAAUCCAUGGGCUCAACCCAUGAACUGCAUUUGAAACUGUAGAUCUUGAGUGUCGGAGGGGCAAUCGGAAUUCCUAGUGUAGCGGUGAAAUGCGUAGAUAUUAGGAGGAACACCAGUGGCGAAGGCGGAUUGCUGGACGAUAACUGACGGUGAGGCGCGAAAGUGUGGGGAGCAAACAGGAUUAGAUACCCUGGUAGUCCACACUGUAAACGAUGAAUACUAGGUGUGCGGG